rnacentral:rRNA from 1 species
GGAACUGAGACACGGUCCAAACUCCUACGGGAGGCAGCAGUGAGGAAUAUUGGUCAAUGGACGAGAGUCUGAACCAGCCAAGUAGCGUGCAGGAUGACGGCCCUAUGGGUUGUAAACUGCUUUUAUAAGGGAAUAAAGUGAGUCUCGUGAGACUUUUUGCAUGUACCUUAUGAAUAAGGACCGGCUAAUUCCGUGCCAGCAGCCGCGGUAAUACGGAAGGUCCGGGCGUUAUCCGGAUUUAUUGGGUUUAAAGGGAGCGUAGGCCGGAGAUUAAGCGUGUUGUGAAAUGUAGACGCUCAACGUCUGCACUGCAGCGCGAACUGGUUUCCUUGAGUACGCACAAAGUGGGCGGAAUUCGUGGUGUAGCGGUGAAAUGCUUAGAUAUCACGAAGAACUCCGAUUGUGAAGGCAGCUCACUGGAGCGCAACUGACGCUGAAGCUAGAAAGUGCGGGUAUCGAACAGGAUUAGAUACCCUGGUAGUCCGCACGGUAAACGAUGGAUGCCCGCUGUUGGUAUGAAUAGGUCAGCGACCAAGCGCAAGCUUUAAGCAUU